rnacentral:rRNA from 1 species
UACGUAGGGUGCAAGCGUUAAUCGGAAUUACUGGGCGUAAAGCGUGCGCAGGCGGUUUUGUAAGUCUGACGUGAAAUCCCCGGGCUCAACCUGGGAAUUGCGUUGGAGACUGCAAGGCUGGAGUCUGGCAGAGGGGGGUAGAAUUCCACGUGUAGCAGUGGAAUGCGUAGAGAUGUGGAGGAACACCGAUGGCGAAGGCAGCCCCCUGGGUCAAGACUGACGCUCAUGCACGAAAGCGUGGGGAGCAAACAGG